CAAGUGUCGUGUGUGAGCAUCUAAUUGUCAUUCAAUAGGAAUCGAAUACUAAAACAAAAUAAGAGCGAAAGUGAGGCUCUGUGUUUGCCGAUGCACUGACAUACAACAGUAUAAAUCUGACCCGAAGUGUCGGCCAUGUUACCACACCAACUCGUCCACAGCAUGAAGACACUGACCCUGGUUCUGGCUCUGACUGUCACGUCAAUGUGUCAACAGUUGCCAUCAGAUGUCAGCAAGGUGAUCAGCAAACGAGGGCUGCUACAUUACCCAGGAUUGGCCUUCACACCUGCAACCGCCCUGGGUUACCCGAGCCUGAGUUCACACUAUUUCCCUGGGUAUACCAGUAUCGCCUACCCGCGGUACGGACUUCGAUACCCAUAUUCACCGACAUUUCCGGCAUACUAUCCGGGACUUCCCAUCUACGGGUGAUACGUAACGCGGAACAAUCCAUAUUGAGCUAAGGACAGCGUCGAAUCUGCAGUCACCCCCAACCCCCACAAAAAUGGAUGAAUGCGAUCAAUACAAAUUGUAGAGAGAAAAUGUGAAAUCUGCUUUACACUUUGCCAAUCCGAUCAACUUCGCCACUAAAAUCACCACAAGUUAUAUGCAAUAUCGGCCCUUAAUAACAUAAACCAACACGACAAAUGCCAUCAUUACCAAAUCCAUGGCAAAAGAGUCCUUCUUGAGAAGCUACCUGUCGCAGAGCUAGUCAACAAAUUCCACGUCUUUUAUACAACACGAGGGUUCAUUACCGUGUUCACAACACCUCGCUACCAGUCCCUAUCCUGAGCCAGAUAAACCCAGUUUACACCCUAACAUCUUAUUUUGUAAUCUAUUUUAAUGAACCCCUCCCGUCUACGCUUACGUAUUUUGAGUUUUUUCUUCCCUUAAGCUUUUCCCAUCAAUAUUUUGUAUGCAUUUAUCACUUCACCUAUGCAUUGAACGCCCAACCCAUCCCAUCACUCAAACAAUGUUUGAUGAAAAGUUCAAACAAUGCAGUUCCUCCUUAGUGUAAUUUUCUUCAGUCUCCUGCACCUGAAGAUGGGAGUAAAACCAACUACCGAAACAUAAUACGUAAUUUAUAUUUAAUGUACUCCAGACAAUACACCACGCCCAUCAUGGUCAUAACAAAAUUUUGGAGUAUCCAAGAGCACAAGAAUAUUUAGCUAAUUUCUUAACAGGCCUUACAUCCCUUGGACAAAACAAAAGAAACAAAUAAGUACACGACGAAAUUUACAAGUAAUAUCUGAUACUAAAGAGAACCGCUUAAAACUGUCCAUUUAUUUAAAAAUACGAAAACUGGGAACCUGUAGAAUGUCUGUAAAGUUUUCAGUUGAUAAGUCAGUAUCUGCCAAACUAAAUGGAGCAACAUCCCACUAGGCAACCGCCUUCAAUAUUCAGCAUACCAAUUGUAAACGAAAAUAUUCUAAUUUUAAAUGACAUGUAAUGUAUGAAACGUGAAUAAUUUAUUAUUUCGGUGUAAAACAUUAUCAGAAUAUACAGACUAAAAAGAAAAAAAAAAUAUCGCUGCGGACAGGAUUCGAACCUGUGCGGGCAAAGCCCAUUGGAUUUCGAGUCCAACUCCUUAACCACUCGGACACCGCAGCUCACAGCGAAAGACGGCCUUGUUACAACAGUAGAACGUAGGCUCGCACGACUGAGCAGCACAUACGCGCAUGUUCUCGAAUGUUGUUACCUGUUUCCUCCUAUUUUGUAGCGAAAUGAUGACCAUCACGAAUUAACAAUCCCAAAACUAUUUUUCUGCUCUCUUUUUUCUUCUGUAAACAACAGACAUCCUUGGGCUACACGUUUACUGCAGAUAAAAAUGUACUGUUAAUGGUAAUGGACGUUGGAAAUAUUGUAUUGCAUAGAGAUAAAUAUUUGAUAUUAUAUACUGAAACAUUCUUUAAACAAAA